CUACUCAAAGGCGAUGCAAAACAUGAGAGGUAAACAUGGUCACUUCCUUGUGAUCGGUUGUUCACUGUGAUCACCCAGCAUGACUCGACAUAGCAUGACUCGAAGUGCAGAGAGGAAAUGACAAAGAAGAAGGGAUGGAACCCUGCACAGUCGGCCAGACAAUGGACAUCAGUCCACAGAAGUUGUUGAUGAGGCUGCAUCAGAAUCCACACAUGCUUCCCUCUCCCCAAAUAAUUGCUGAAUGGAGCCUGGUGCUGGUCCUUGCACUGAAGCCACGGUCCCGAAGGCUCUCCAUGAUGACCUCAAACAGAAGUACAGCCAACUUUCUACCGAAUGUGACAACCUGCGUGUGGACAUCAACAAACUCAAAGCCGAGAAUGAACAACUAAAAGCAACACCCAGGUUUCCUUUAGCUCUAUCAAAUGCAAAG